AUGAACGCUAGCGGGAGGCCUCACACAUGCAAGCCGAGCGGUAGAGUCUCUUCGGAGACUUGAGAGCGGCGCACGGGUGCGGAACACGUGUGCAACCUGCCUUUAUCUGGGGGAUAGCCUUUCGAAAGGAAGAUUAAUACCCCAUAAUAUACUGGAUGGCAUCAUCUGGUAUUGAAAACUCCGGUGGAUAGAGAUGGGCACGCGCAAGAUUAGAUAGUUGGUGAGGUAACGGCUCACCAAGUCAGCGAUCUUUAGGGGGCCUGAGAGGGUGAUCCCCCACACUGGUACUGAGACACGGACCAGACUCCUACGGGAGGCAGCAGUGAGGAAUAGUGGACAAUGGGUGAGAGCCUGAUCCAGCCAUCCCGCGUGAAGGACGACGGCCCUAUGGGUUGUAAACUUCUUUUGUAUAGGGAUAAACCUAGAUACGUGUAUCUAGCUGAAGGUACUAUACGAAUAAGCACCGGCUAACUCCGUG
rnacentral:rRNA from 1 species